ACGCUGUUGGUGUAUUGGUAACAUUAGAGCUUCCCAUUAUCUGAUUAAUGGCCACCUUGUAGUUAACGGUGGACAAUUGCUCUAGCACGGGGUUCGAUUCCCCGACAGCGUA
rnacentral:tRNA from 7 species